rnacentral:piRNA from 1 species
AUCCUGACACAAUCACUGCUGUCACUAAGGGC